rnacentral:rRNA from 1 species
AGUGAACGCUGGCGGUAGGCCUAACACAUGCAAGUCGAACGGCAGCACAGUAAGAGCUUGCUCUUACGGGUGGCGAGUGGCGGACGGGUGAGGAAUACAUCGGAAUCUACUUUUUCGUGGGGGAUAACGUAGGGAAACUUACGCUAAUACCGCAUACGACCUACGGGUGAAAGCAGGGGAUCUUCGGACCUUGCGCGAUUGAAUGAGCCGAUGUCGGAUUAGCUAGUUGGCGGGGUAAAGGCCCACCAAGGCGACGAUCCGUAGCUGGUCUGAGAGGAUGAUCAGCCACACUGGAACUGAGACACGGUCCAGACUCCUACGGGAGGCAGCAGUGGGGAAUAUUGGACAAUGGGCGCAAGCCUGAUCCAGCCAUACCGCGUGGGUGAAGAAGGCCUUCGGGUUGUAAAGCCCUUUUGUUGGGAGAGAAAAGCAGCAGGUUAAUACCCCGCUGUUCUGACGGUACCCAAAAAAUAAGCACCGGCUAACUUCGU